GCGAAACCAGUCAACGUCCGACCCUACAGGUACACACCUGAACAGAAGACAGAAAUUGAGACUCAAGUGAAAGAGUUGUUGAAGGCGAGGUUGAUUAUCCCUAGCUCGAGUCCUUACUCAUCCCAAGUGCUGCUUGUCAAGAAGAAAGAUAUGACAUGGAGGAUGUGCGUGGACUACCGGCACUUGAAUGCAAUCACAGUGAAAAGUGCCUACCCCAUGCCAAUCAUCAAUGAUCUGUUGGACGAACUGGCAGGGUCUCGCUGGUUUUCCAAAUUAGACCUACGGGCAGGCUAUCAUCAGAUCAGGCUCUGUGAAGAGGAUGAGCCCAAGACUGCAUUUAAAACUCAUCAGGGGCACUUUCAGUUCAGAGUGUUGUCAUAUGGGGUGACUAGAGGGCCACCUACAUUCCAAGGUGGGAUG
rnacentral:rRNA from 1 species